UAUGAUAAAAACCACUAACUCUGCGACUUUCCCACCAUUGCCACCAUUGCCACCAUUGCCACCAAGUAGGUAUGAUAAAAAACCACUAACUUUGCGACUUUCCCACCAUUGCCACCAUUGCCACCAAGUAGGUAUGAUAAAAAACCACUAACUCUGCGACUUUCCCACCAUUGCCACCAUUGCCACCAAGUAGGUAUGAUAAAAAAACCACUAACUCCGCGACUUUCCCACAAUUGCCACCAUUGCCACCAAGUAGGUAUGAUAAAAAACCACUAACUCCGUGACUUUCCCACUAUUGCCACCAUUGCCACCAUUGCCACCAUUGCCACCAAGUAGGUAUGAUAAAAAACCACUAACUCUGCGACUUUCCCACCAUUGCCACCAUUUCCACCAAGUAGGUAUGAUAAAAACCACUAACUCUGCGACUUUCCCACCAUUGCCACCAUUGCCAC
rnacentral:lncRNA from 1 species